rnacentral:lncRNA from 1 species
GUAAAUCAUGCUCCUAAAAAGCCUAAAUCGAUAAGAGAGCAAUCCACAAGAGUAUUAUGAAAAUCCUCCAUUCUUCUUUCAUCUCGUAAAAUCCCUCCCUUUUUUUCAUGCAUGUACAUGAUUUCAUUGAAAUCCUUACAGACCAUCCACAAGAAACUUUGAUCUCUCCCUAAACGUUUUAAUAAAUUCCAAAUCGCUUCCUUCUC